AUGACACAUGGCAGUUAAUCUCUUCUCUUCAAUCAAAUUCAGUUGGUCAUAACGACUCUGAAUCCAUUCAGCCUCAGUCAACUAGGGACUUGAGGGUAUGAUUUUUUCUUUUUUCUCUUGAAAAAAUUUUGAAAAUUUUUUCCUGGUUUUUGAUUUUUUUCAUCUUUUUCACCCUCCUUUUUUUUCAUUUUUUUUUACAUUACAUUUGUAAUGCCCCAGUUUGACUGGUUUGCUGAUUCUCAUGAUACAGCUGAAUGAGCCUCUUUUGGUGCUCAAGAAGGCGGGUAA
rnacentral:lncRNA from 1 species